rnacentral:rRNA from 1 species
UACGAAGGGGGCUAGCGUUGUUCGGAAUUACUGGGCGUAAAGCGCACGUAGGCGGACUAUUAAGUCAGGGGUGAAAUCCCGGGGCUCAACCCCGGAACUGCCUUUGAUACUGGUAGUCUCGAGUCCGGAAGAGGUGAGUGGAAUUCCGAGUGUAGAGGUGAAAUUCGUAGAUAUUCGGAGGAACACCAGUGGCGAAGGCGGCUCACUGGUCCGGUACUGACGCUGAGGUGCGAAAGCCAGGGGAGCAAAGCGGGG